rnacentral:rRNA from 1 species
CGCGUGUGUGAAGAAGGCCCUCGGGUUGUAAAGCACUUUCAGCGAGGAAGAACGCCUAUCGGUUAAUACCCGGUAGGAAAGACAUCACUCGCAGAAGAAGCACCGGCUAACUCCGUGCCAGCAGCCGCGGUAAUACGGAGGGUGCAAGCGUUAAUCGGAAUUACUGGGCGUAAAGCGCGCGUAGGUGGCUUGAUAAGCCGGUUGUGAAAGCCCCGGGCUCAACCUGGGAACGGCAUCCGGAACUGUCAGGCUAGAGUGCAGGAGAGGAAGGUAGAAUUCCCGGUGUAGCGGUGAAAUGCGUAGAGAUCGGGAGGAAUACCAGUGGCGAAGGCGGCCUUCUGGACUGACACUGACACUGAGGUGCGAAAGCGUGGGUAGCAAACAGGAUUAGAUACCCUGGUAGUCCACGCCGUAAACGAUGUCGACCAGCCGUUGGGUGCCUAGAGCACUUUGUGGCGAAGUUAACGCGAUAAGUCGACCGCCUGGGGAGUACGGCCGCAAGGUUAAAACUCAAAUGAAUUGACGGGGGCCCGCACAAGCGGUGGAGCAUGUGGUUUAAUUCGAUGCAACGCGAAGAACCUUACCUACCCUUGACAUCUACAGAAGCCGGAAGAGAUUCUGGUGUGCCUUCGGGAACUGUAAGACAGGUGCUGCAUGGCUGUCGUCAGCUCGUGUUGUGAAAUGUUGGGUUAAGUCCCGUAACGAGCGCAACCCUUGUCCUUAUUUGCCAGCGAGUAAUGUCGGGAACUCUAAGGAGACUGCCGGUGACAAACCGGAGGAAGGUGGGGACGACGUCAAGUCAUCAUGGCCCUUACGGGUAGGGCUACACACGUGCUACAAUGGCCGGUACAAAGGGUUGCGAGCUCGCGAGAGUCAGCGAAUCCCUUAAAGCCGGUCUCAGUCCGGAUCGGAGUCUGCAACUCGACUCCGUGAAGUCGGAAUCGCUAGUAAUCG